rnacentral:rRNA from 1 species
UCCGUAGGUGAACCUGCGGAAGGAUCAUUAUCGAGUUAGGGUCUCUUAGGCCCGACCUCCAACCCUAUGUUUAUUCUACCCUGUUGCUUUGGCGGGCCCGCCUUAUAGGGGCCGUCGGGGGUUGUCUGACCCCUGAUCAGUGCCCGCCAGUGGCCUUCAAAAACUCUUGUAUAACUAUGUUGUCUGAGUCCUAAUUAAAAUCGUUAAAAAACUUUCAACAACGGAUCUCUUGGUUCUGGCAUCGAUGAAGAACGCAGCGAAAUGCGAUAAGUAAUGCGAAUUGCAGAAUUCAGUGAGUCAUCGAAUCUUUGAACGCAUAUUGCGCCCUUUGGCAUUCCGAAGGGCAUGCCUGUUCGAGCGUCAUUAUCAACCAUCAAGCACGGCUUGUCGUUGGACUCUUUUGUCGCUGCAACACGCGGCAGGUCCGAAAGAUAAUGACGGGUGUCGUGUUGGACCCUCGAUGCAACGAGCUCUUCGUAGCACGCAUUGAACGUGGUCUACCGCCCCGGUCUAUACCUCUAUUUUCUUCAGGUUGACCUCGGAUCAGGUAGGAAUACCCGCUGAACUUAAGCAUAUCAAUAAGCGGAGGA